GGAGAUUGCUCUAUUGAUUCUGUCUCCUGAAAAUAUAGGUGGGAUAGAUAAGUUAGUCACAGUUCUAGUUCUAAAUAAAUCAUAUAAAGAGGAUAUGCUUCAGAGAUGAUGUCUGUAGCAACUUAAACAGAACAUUAGAAAUAAGAAUCAAACAGAACCUCUUUGCAUGAUGAUGUCUGAAAAACUGAUAAAUUCCCCUGAAAGUCUUCAAAAUGAACUAGAAAGAAAGUUCUGUGACUAAAAAAU
rnacentral:misc_RNA from 1 species